CCUGAGAAAGAGGUCCAAGAAGUUAAAUCGCCACUGUAACUGAUUAAUCCUGGCUUUAUCUGUUUUUUUAAUGAUAUGAAUAAUGGAGAGAACUGCUGAGAGUAUAAUUCUGCCUCUGUGACACUGCUGGGUGUUGAGUCUUUUUACAAUGCACCAUCUAACUAGACUGAGUCUCAUCCACAGCAAAGACAACCGGUGCAAACACAUCCCUGGCCCCAACAACAACACCAGGAAACACACUCGGCUCAAACACAACCCUGGCCACUAUAGUGACAACAGCACAACCUAAUACCACAAGUGGGGUAACAAAGCUUGCCAAACAACCAACAUCCAUACUCCUGGCUGCUCUGCUGACGACUGUGCUGCAAAUACUGCAACAACCAGCCUAAAUACAUGUGUGACUUACUAAUCAUACUAAUCAAUAGUAAUAGAGAGCGGGAUUUCUUGAUAUUAUUGUGACUUAUCUAUUCAAGCCUAAGCCUUGCUAUUGCUUAACUUCUGCUUUACACUAUCCCUUCAUGUGUAGAACUACGUUAUUUUACAAUUAUAGUGAUUACAAUAAUGUUUUAUGUGGUGAUCUGGAUUAUACUCAUACUGGGGUUUUAAAAUUAAGUACUGCCAAUAAUGAUACAUAUGCUCAAUCAUUUUUAAAAGCUAUGGUGAAUGAAAAAUAGAGAGAUUUUAAAUUGAUCGCCUUAUCUAUUAUCAUGACUUAAG